GUGAGUCAUCGAAUCUUUGAACGCACAUUGCGCCCGCCAGUAUUCUGGCGGGCAUGCCUGUUCGAGCGUCAUUUCAACCAUCAAGCCCCCGGCUUGUGUUGGGGACCUGCGGCUGCCGCAGGCCCUGAAAACCAGUGGCGGGCUCGCUAGUCACUCCGAGCGUAGUAGUAUUAUCUCGCUCCGGACGUGCUGCGUGCUCCGGCCGUUAAAACACCCCUUUUAACCCAAGGUUGACCUCGGAUCAGGUAGGAAGACCCGCUGAACUUAAGCAUAUCAAUAAGCGGAGGA
rnacentral:misc_RNA from 1 species